CCUACGGGAGGCUGCAGUGGGGAAUCUUGCGCAAUGGGCGAAAGCCUGACGCAGCCAUGCCGCGUGAAUGAUGAAGGUCUUAGGAUUGUAAAAUUCUUUCACCGGGGACGAUAAUGACGGUACCCGGAGAAGAAGCCCCGGCUAACUUCGUGCCAGCAGCCGCGGUAAUACGAAGGGGGCUAGCGUUGCUCGGAAUUACUGGGCGUAAAGGGAGCGUAGGCGGACAUUUAAGUCAGGGGUGAAAUCCCGGGGCUCAACCUCGGAAUUGCCUUUGAUACUGGGUGUCUUGAGUAUGAGAGAGGUGUGUGGAACUCCGAGUGUAGAGGUGAAAUUCGUAGAUAUUCGGAAGAACACCAGUGGCGAAGGCGACACACUGGCUCAUUACUGACGCUGAGGCUCGAAAGCGUGGGGAGCAAACAGGAUUAGAUACCCUAGUAGUC
rnacentral:rRNA from 1 species